rnacentral:sRNA from 1 species
AUCGGACAUCGCAACGGAUUCGGAGGACGGUCUCAUGUUCGUCGAUAGCGUAGUACUCGCAGGGGUGGUCACGGUCGGCCUGAUGGUCGUUUUCCUGGGCGGUGUUGCUUAUUUCAUCUGGCGGGACUCGAAGAAGAAGCGCAGCUGACCCGCUGAUACAGAGCACGCAAGGCAUUUAGGCGACCUCAGGUCGCCUUUUUUUUG